UUAAUUCCAUCCAAUUAGAAACUUCCGUUUCUCCACGUCACUUCAGCUCUCCGUAAUACCUUUGCGUAGAAGAAGCCCAUUUAAUUUUCCACAUAGGCCCAGUUUUUGGUUUGCACGCCUCCAACCCUGAUACGGCAUAAUCGAUGAACUGAAAUUCUUCUCUCCUCUGCGUGUGAUGGAGUUUUGGUGACCUUUGCGCUUCGUCUCACUAUCUGAAACGGUCUGAGUUAUGGCUUCGUGUUUAAUCCCCUUGAUUCUCGCCCAUGGUGAGGCUUUGAAUGUGCUGUCUAGAUCUAAAAGCCUGUGUGUGUUGGGUAUAAAUAUAGGGUGUUCUUCUCCAAUCUGAAGUUCGGCAAGUGUUCCUCCGCUAGGCUGUUGUGGAUCUGGGAAUUUGAUGGCCUAAACCAGCAUGAUUACAGAUGCAUUUAAUACCCCCUUUCGAUUGAGCUCAUCACUACGAUAAGAAAGUGUUUGGUUUCAUCCAAGGAUAUGAGCGUGUCUUGGAUACUGCUUGCUUUGAUCACAGAGGUAAACCAGAACAUCCGGACUUUACACUCGAGAAAGAUGGAGCCAUAUGCGUAAGUAGACAUUCUAAAGUAUCUGUAUGAUGCAAGGAUCUCAGAGUCUGUUUGUGAGGCCUGCUGCAUUUUGUUUCUGUCGCAGACCAGAAGAAGAACGUUUGGCAAUGGAGGUGUGUUUAUGCAUCAAAUAACUAAAGUAUCUCUCUUUCACGGCUCUCUGACUCCGUAAGCUCCUAAUCUGACCCUUGGGUUAUCAUGAUAUGAGAUUCUCAAUUACUGUUUGGAGUCUUUAUCUUUUUCAAAGUUGUGCGUAGUCUUGAGGUGUUAAAGGUAUGAUUGUAUUUACUUUUUCCUCCUGCUAUUGAGUAGUACUAAAUAAUAAGAUUUUAUUUUGUUGUUUUAGUUUCUCUGUGAAUAUAACAUUGUAAAUGUCUUCACUUGGUAUCAAGGUCAUCGAGAAAGAGAGAGUGUACCAAUUGUAAAUUUAUUGUGCAAAAACAUUUAUUUAUUUAUUUUUAUACAAUUUUUUAGUAA